ACCAAGACCAAAAUGCCCUUUUUCUAACCACUGUUUUUCAUUUGUUUUGUUUUGUGGUGCUAGGGUUCAAACCCACAAAGCUCUACAUGUAAUGCAUGGACUCUGCUCCAAGACACACCCCAUUCUCCUAGUAACUCUCCAGCCACACAGCGGAAGGGGGAAAACACACAACAAAAACCAAGCAAGAGAGUGUAGCUCCUUCUCUCAGACACCUGCUGCUGUGACUUACGGUGAUGGUGGACUGUAACCCGGAACUGUGCUGCUGUGACUUCCCGUGAUGGCGGACUGUAACCCGGAACUGUACUGCUGUGACCUCCGGCUACAGAGGCCUGUAACCUAGAGCUGUGAGCUGAAACAGACCUUUUCUCCCAUAAAUUGCUUUUCUCUGGGUCACUCAUCACAACAGGAAAAGAAAGACACUAAGACAAAGACCCAACUUAUAAAGGUGACGAAACAAACACACAGAACACAGUGCUGUCAUGAAUAGGAUCA